GUGGUCUAACCAGUCUCGUGAUUGCUCGUGAUCUGUGCUCUUAUUUGACUAUUUUGAUAAAUCAAAAAACAAAAUGUCACAGCUAUUAGUCUAGGCUUUAUAAAAAUAUAUACAAAAUGUAACUAUGGAAAAAAGAACAAAAUUUCCGUCUUCUACACGAUGCCGCAAAAUAACCAAUCAAACAGCGGAGAAGGCGACAAGACACCCUGGCUGACGAUCAUAGGGGGUCUAGUUCUAGGAGCGGGCGUCAUCGCGCUGUUAUGCAAGUUGUAUUCUAGAUAUAGUAAUACAUCGCAGGAGGAACCUGUUGUCACAAAAAUUAACCCAGCAAAAAGAAAAUGGCCGGACGAUUGUUAAUAUAAAUAUGAUUAAAA